rnacentral:rRNA from 1 species
UAAAGAAAGCGAUUCCGGCUACGGAUGGUCAUGCGUCGCAUUAGCUAGUUGGCGGGGUAACGGCCCACCAAGGCGACGAUGCGUAGGGGUUCUGAGAGGAAGGUCCCCCACACUGGUACUGAGACACGGACCAGACUCCUACGGGAGGCAGCAGUGAGGAAUAUUGGUCAAUGGCCGCAGGGCUGAACCAGCCAAGUCGCGUGAGGGAUGACGGUCCUAUGGAUUGUAAACCUCUUUUGUCAGGGAGCAAAGGGCGCCACGUGUGGCGCUUUGCGAGUACCUGAAGAAAAAGCAUCGGCUAACUCCGUGCCAGCAGCCGCGGUAAUACGGAGGAUGCGAGCGUUAUCCGGAUUUAUUGGGUUUAAAGGGUGCGCAGGCGGAAUGUCAAGUCAGCGGUAAAAUUUCGGGGCUCAACCCCGUCGUGCCGUUGAAACUGGCGUUCUUGAGUGAGCGAGAAGUAUGCGGAAUGCGUGGUGUAGCGGUGAAAUGCAUAGAUAUCACGCAGAACUCCGAUUGCGAAGGCAGCAUACCGGCGCUCAACUGACGCUCAUGCACGAAAGCGUGGGUAUCGAACAGGAUUAGAUACCCUGGUAGUCCACGCAGUAAACGAUGAAUACUAACUGUCCGGGCAGAAUGAUGCCUGG